rnacentral:rRNA from 1 species
UACGUAGGGGGCAAGCGUUGUCCGGAAUCAUUGGGCGUAAAGAGCGUGUAGGCGGCUCGGUAAGUCCGCUCUGAAAGCCCGGGGCUCAACCCCGGGAGGCGGGCGGAUACUGUCGGGCUAGAGUCCGGAAGAGGCGAGUGGAAUUCCUGGUGUAGCGGUGAAAUGCGCAGAUAUCAGGAGGAACACCAAUGGCGAAGGCAGCUCGCUGGGACGGUACUGACGCUGAGAAGCGAAAGCAUGGGGAGCGAAACAGG